rnacentral:lncRNA from 1 species
UGGCAAAUGGAAGUUCCCAGGCUAGGGGCUGAAUUGGAGCUGCCGCUGCCAGCCUACGCCACAGCCACAGCAAUGCAGAUCUGAGCCGCAUCUGCAACCUACCACCACAGCUCAUGGCAAUGCCAGAUCCUUAACCCACUGAGUGAGGCCAGGGAUUGAACCUGCAUCUUCGCGGAUACUAGUCAGGUUUGUUACCACCAAAACGCAAUGGAGACUCCCUGAGUCAUUCUUAACCCCAAUACCAAAUACAAUGACUGGCACAUAGUUGGCCAAUACAUCUUUGCUGAAUGAAAGAAUGAGUGGAGAGCAGGGAGGCAGGAAAGAGCACGUGUGUCUGGUUGUCUGGGUGGACAGGACGCAGGCAGGAGUCAGAUUCCAAAAGCCUUGUCAUCCCUACUAAGGGGCCCAGACUUUGGAGGCAGUGGGAAACCCAUGGAGAAUUUAAAGCAAGACACGAUCUGUGUUUAACAGUGUGAUGGGGCGAUUGUGCGGAGGAUGAAUUAGAAGGGGCCAGGUCAAGACAGUUAUUUAUGAGCUCCAAGGAGCACAUCCAUCCAUUUCCCCAACCCCUUCCAAGUGUUCAGGACCACAGGAGGUGCCGGGAGGCAGCAGGAGGGUGGCCGGCAUUGCAGACAACCCUGCCUUCAACCUGAUCUCAAAAGGCUCACCUUCGAAGCCUCCGGCUGGAAAAGAAAUGAGGGCUCCACCUCGCACACGGCAAGGUUGAGAGUGCAAAGAGCUAUCGAAGCGCACCAAUCUCAUCUCAGAUUACAUCGUGAGCAAGAGAAAGAAAAUUCGUCCUCUACGGUGCCAUAGUUUUCUCUCUUUAAUGUCAUUUCUUCCAAACCUAUCAAAGCAGAACGGGCCGUUCGUGGUGUCACAUAAUGUUCUGGGGCUGCUAUAUGGGGUUCGUCUGCCUGGUGCAAGAGCACCAUUUCCAAAGCUGAAUUCUUUGGCCUGAGAUACCGGAAUUAUUUCACAUGCCCAUUAAAAAAAUACAUAUCAUAACCCAGAGGGGGGAAAUGAGAAUUUUCUUCAACUCCAUUAUGGGAAGAAAAACACUGAAAGAAAAGAGAGAGCAGAAAAGGAAAGAAAGAAGGAAAGAAGGAAGGGAGGGAAAAGAAAGAGAAAGCGAGAGAGAGAGACGUGGGGAGAAAGAGAGAGAGGGAGGAUGGGAGGGAGAGAGAGAGAAAUAGGGAGAAAGAAUCCAUAAGAAUAAGACAGAGACAAGUAGCCCCAGGAAAUCCUUCAAAUCAUUUCCAACCCACCCCCAUGGGCAAUUCAUGAUUCAGAAUUCCAGCAACCACACAUUCAUCAUUCGGACAGCAAAGCUUUACUAUUAAGGGGAGAAGAACAUUUAUUAAGCACUUAUUGCAUACCAGCCACUGUGCUAAAUUCAUCACUGAAGUUAAAUCUCACAUCUUUCCUUUAGAAAUGGGUAUCUUAUUGCCCUCAUUUUCAGACGCAAAAACAGAGAUCUGAAAAAUGCAGUGAUGUGGCUGAGGUUCGCGGAGGGAAUAGGACUGCGGAUGUUCUUAGGCUCCACCGCGCUGCUUGCGACGGCGGGGCCCCUCCCUCCAGAAGCUCAGCGCCUCCUAGGCUGGGAAGGAAGAUACAGGCAAAGAAAGGAGAAGUGGGGGAGAGGUUCCUAGCAGCCUGACCUUUCCAUGUGUUGGGAUGUCCAUUUGCUGGGGGUCUCGCAUGCCAUCUGGAGACAAGAUGCUGAGAUGGGCAAUUUAAAUCUAAAGAGUUCUGCUUCAUCAGAGCGGUGCGGCUGGUCCCUGCUCUGUGAAUCAGACCCACAUGGGACAAAGAGAAAUCGCACUGCAGAGGUUCUCCCUACAGCGCUGUCAGGGCUUCCCGGAGAUCCUGGGUCCAAAAGCGCUGGACUCUAGGCUGGCCCCACCUGCAGUUCCACCAGCGGGAAAUGGAAGGGCUCAGGCACACGAAUGCCUCACCUGAGGUCACACAACCGGCAGGUAGCAGCCCCAGGGUGGCCCCAGGCCCCCUGGCUCCGGUCAAGGCCUCCUUCCUCAAGCCUUUUACCUCUUAGUCCCGGGUUUCCUCAUGCUUCUCCAGCUACUGCUUGGGUUUGUUCAUUCUUUCAUUCGAGAACUCACACCUUAGUCCUAAAGCCCCACAAUAAACAAACUGCAGGCCCUGCCCCCGCCCCAGCGCUCCUUGCAGAUGUAGCUGAUGGCAGCGGGUGCUUAAAGGCCUUGCUCUGGGCUCAGCUUGGAGUUUUGCUUUAAGUUUAAAUGAUUUUUGUUCCAGGCUCUUCUAAUUUCUUUGAAGACUGCCCUCUUUUCUUUCUGGAAGCCAUUUACAGAGACGGGAGUGGGUGUCAGGGCGCAGACUCUGAAUGGCGACCCCUGGGGGCAGAGCAGGGAAAUGGCGGUCAAAGACGUGGUUCCCAGGAAGCCAAGGAUUUAGGCAAAAGAAUCACAGAGCUGCUGCUCCUGGAGUUGCCCCUGUAAUUACACACCUUCAUUCAUUUAUUCACCAGAGCAGCCCCUCAGGUCAGUAAAUGAUCCCCACUUUGGGAGGUGAAUUAACCAGAGCUGAGAAGAUUCGUAUUUGGUGCAAGGCACAGGCUUAUCUUCAGGGAUGGAGCCUGGUUUGGGAGGUGGAUUUCUAAUUCGGGUCAGCUGAUUCCAUUUCCAUCUGGGCCUCGUUAUGCCAAUCUCUGAAAUGGGGAUUACAGAACUUGCUUUCAGAGGGUUGCUCUGAAGUGCAUGGAAGAUCAUUUCAGAGAAGUCCUUAGCCCAUGCUUAGCCCAUAAACAUAAAAAAUAUUUGGGAGGAGGGGACCCUGGGACCUGCCCUGACCAACCACGCUGGGGCCACCUGGACGUGGGUCAGAGGUUGAGGCUCAAGUUCUCUUUUAGCUUUAAUAAGCACGUUCAAAAAUUACAUUUUUAGCUUGCAGGAGGCUUUCACAAAGAGGCUGUGCCUGGCGCCUCACAUCUCCCCCUCUCUCAGUGGAGGAGACUGGGGGGCGGGCUCCAUAAUUCACGGGGACAAAACCAUUACAUGGUUGACCUGAGAGUUCCGUUGUGAGCCUUUCUCCCUGGUAAUCGUGAAAGUUAAUACAGUGCAGGAAGCGCUGCAGCUAUUUGAAUUUCAAAUGCGGCAGAGCUGCUGGAAACAUCCCUGCAUGCAGGCGAGGGGACCUUUCACUGCCUCACUACCCGUAACCCCCCCACCCCCAAUGGCCUGGGGUGCAGGUGUGGGGGACUUGGAUUCUCCCAUAACCACCAACAGGCAGGGCUCAGGGAGGGGGAAGAGGGUUUAAAAGGCCUCCACCUCCUCUUCUUUGCCAGGGCACAGAUGCCUGGGACCAGGCAUUCUGUUCCC